AUUGAACGCUGGCGGCAGGCCUAACACAUGCAAGUCGAGCGAGCGGCGGACGGGUGAGUAAUGUAUGGGGACUGCCCGAUAGAGGGGGAUAACUACUGGAAACGGUAGCUAAUACCGCAUACUAUCGGAUAACCCAUAUGGGAUUAGCUAGUAGGUGAGGUAAUGGCUCACCUAGGCGACGAUCCCUAGCUGGUCUGAGAGGAUGAUCAGCGACACUGGGACGGGGACACGGACCAAACUCGGACGGAGGCAGCAGUGGGGAAUAUUGCACAAUGGGCGCAAGCCUGAUGCAGCCAUGCCGCGUGUAUGAAGAAGGCCCUAGGGUUGUAAAGUACGUUCAGUCGGGAGGCGUUACCGGCAGAAGAAGCACCGACGAAGUCCGUGACAGCAGCCGCGGUAAUUC
rnacentral:rRNA from 1 species